rnacentral:rRNA from 1 species
UACGGAGGGUGCGAGCGUUGUCCGGAAUCACUGGGCUUAAAGCGUGUGUAGGCGGAUCGUUAAGUACCUUGUGAAAUCCCACGGCUCAACCGUGGAACUGCUGGGUAUACUGGCGAUCUUGAGCCACCUAGGGGCGAGCGGAACAAGCGGUGGAGCGGUGAAAUGCGUAGAUAUCGCUUGGAACGCCAAUGGUGAAAACAGCUCGCUGGGGGUGUGCUGACGCUGAGACACGAAAGCCAGGGGAGCGAACGGG